UACGUAGGGUGCAAGCGUUGUCCGGAAUUAUUGGGCGUAAAGAGCUCGUAGGCGGUUGUCGCGUCUGCUGUGAAAACCCGAGGCUCAACCUCGGGCCUGCAGUGGGUACGGGCAGACUAGAGUGCGGUAGGGGAGAUUGGAAUUCCUGGUGUAGCGGUGGAAUGCGCAGAUAUCAGGAGGAACACCAAUGGCGAAGGCAGAUCUCUGGGCCGUAAGCUGACGCUGAGGAGCGAAAGCGUGGGGAGCGAACAGG
rnacentral:rRNA from 1 species